AAGUCGUAACAAGGUUCGUUGGUGAACCAGCGGAGGGAUCAUUACUGAGUACUACACUCUCUACCCUUUGUGAACUAUUAUACCCUGUUGCUUCGGCGGCGCCCCGCAAGGGUGCCCGCCGGUCUCAUCAGAAUCUCUGUUUUCGAACCCGACGAUACUUCUGAGUGUUCUUAGCGAACUGUCAAAACUUUUAACCCAACGGAUCUCUUGGCUCCAGCAUCGAUGAAGAACGCAGCGAAACGCGAUAUGUACAUGUGAAUUGCAGAAAUUCAGUGAAUCAUCGAAUCUUUGAACGCACAUGGCGCGCUUCCAGUAUCCUGGGAGGCAUGCCUGUCCGAGCGUCCGUUUUCAACCCUCGAGCCCCUGUGGCCCGGCGCUUGGGGGAUCUGCCACGCCAGGCCCUAAAACCAGCUGGCGGACCCGAAGGGCCUCUCCUUUGGCGCCAUUAGCAUUCGCCUCGCAUCGGGAUCCUCGGCGUCCUGCUCUAAACCCCCCACAAGCCCGCUUCGGCGGCCACCAAGGUUGACCUCGGAUCAGGUAGGAAUACCCGCUGAACUUAA
rnacentral:rRNA from 1 species